rnacentral:rRNA from 1 species
UACAGAGGUCCCAAGCGUUGUUCGGAUUCACUGGGCGUAAAGGGUGCGUAGGUGGUGGGGUAAGUUGGAUGUGAAAGCUCCGAGCUUAACUCGGAAAUGGCAUUCAAAACUACCUUGCUAGAGGGUUGGAAGGGGGACUGGAAUUCUCGGUGUAGCAGUGAAAUGCGUAGAUAUCGAGAGGAACACCAGUGGCGAAGGCGAGUCCCUGGACAACUCCUGACACUGAGGCACGAAGGCUAGGGGAGCAAACAGG